rnacentral:rRNA from 1 species
AUGGGGGACGAGAGGGUCGAGGCCAUGGAGAUUGAUGGGCAGCAGCGGCAAGAAGUCGCCGCCGCUGUGCCGGACGGCUUCAACGCCGAUUACCUCCGAAUCUACUACGGAAAGCUCUUCCCAUAUGGUGAUUUCUUCAAGUGGCUUGCAUACGGAAAUGAUGCAAAGCAUCCUGGAUGUGAUCAGUCAUACAUUGGGCGUCGGGAGCUUUCGUUUACACUGGAGAAUGACAUCUAUCUGCGGUUUCAGUCCUUUGAUAGUGCAGCUGAACUGGAGACUUCUAUCAAGGAGAAGUGCCCUUUCAAGAUUGAUAUUGGACCUGUCUACAGCGUAGAUCCUGCAAAGCGACAUGCCUACGCCCAGUCUGGUAACAAUGUCUUCGUACCAGUGGAAAGGGAACUUAUUUUUGAUAUUGAUAUAUCUGAUUAUGAUGAUGUUCGCUACUGCUGCUCUGGAGCUGACACCUGUCUGGACUGCUGGCCAUUAAUGACCAUUGUCAUCAAAAUCCUGGAUACUUCACUUAGAGGUGAUUUUGGUUUCAAUCACAUAUUGUGGGUAUAUAGUGGUCGCCGUGGUGUCCAUUGCUGGGUUUGUGAUAGUAGAGCAAGAAAGCUAAGCAAUGAACAAAGGUCUGCAAUUGCUGACUACUUCCGUGUCUAUAAGGGUGGCGAGAAUUCACUCAAGAAAGUUUCGUUGACUGGGCCUGUCCUUCACCCUUUCCUUGCACGGUCAUACACCGAUGUUCUGAAAUGCUUCUUUGAAGACAAGCUGUUACAUAGCCAACAACUAUUUGCAUCCGAGGAGAGGUGCCAGAAGAUACUCGAACUUAUUCCAGACGAAAAUGUUGCUAGUGAGCUCCAUGAUAAAUGGCAAGGAAAUAGACGAUCCUCCAUCUCAAAAGAAGAUGUGAAUGCAGCAAGAUGGGAGCAGUUAAAGACGACCUUGCAGUCAGGAAAACACAAGACGCAGGGGCUUCGCAGAUGUGUAGAAGAGAUUGUCUUCUCGUACACGUAUCCUAGACUUGACAUGGAGGUGUCAAAGCACAUGAAUCAUUUACUGAAGGCCCCCUUUUGCAUACACCCAAAGACAGGGCGUGUUUGCGUUCCAAUCGAUCCCAACAAUUGUGAAGAUUUUGAUCCUACAGCUGUUCCAACUUUAUCACAGCUGUUAGGAGAGCUCAAUGCGGCUGGUAUGCAGAUUGAUUCUGAGAACGAUUGGGAGAGAACAUCCCUUGAAAAGUACAUCAGAUUUUUCAGAACGUCCUUUCUUCAACCGAUGCUGAAAGCUUGCAAGGAGGAACUGGAAACCGCUUAUAGUGCAAAGCUCCAACAGUCCAAGAAUACCUUGAGCUGGUAA